UAAAAAUCCUGUGAGGAGACGGAUGGAUCUGUUGUUUUUAGUUACUGUAUCUGUGCUGUAUGAUUGACUUGAUUAUGAAGUAUAAAAAAAUUAGUUCCUUAUCUGAGCAGAUCUUUUGAAGAAUGUGGGUCACCACACAGUUGCUGGUCCCAUUGACUUCUGUUGCAGGGAAAUAAUGAUCAUUUUCAUUUUUGGGUAAACUGUCCCUUUAAUUAUGAUGAUUUUAAGUUUUUUUACUACAAAAUAUUAGAAUAACUUUAAGUUAGAAAAUAAAACCAAACCAGCAAUUAAGAAGAAUUAAUUCUUAAGAAUGUUUCAUGAAUCCAGUCCUUGUUCAUUCCAGUUUUCAGUCACUUUUUUCUUGUGUGUGUGUGUGUGUCCUCACCUGUGUUUGUGUAGACUCAGGAGCUGUACUGCGUGAUUGAGGGCCAGAACAAAACACUGCGUAAAAUCACAGAGACCCACCAGCAGCAGCUGCAACACACACAGUCUUCAGAGGGUGCCGUGGACUCGGGUUCGGUUCUGGGCUCCCAGAGUUCUCUGUUCUCGUGUCAGCUGGAGUUGGAGGCGAGUCAGUGCGCUCACAAACUGACUCAAAGACGUCUGGAGGAUCUGAAGCGAGAGCGAGAACGACUGCAGAACGACCUCCAGGAGGCGCUGCAGCACAGAGACGUCAGCCAUAAACACAACCAGGAGCUGCGUGAGAUGGUUGAGCAGCUGCGGUCUGAGCUGCAGGUCAAAGUGUGUGAGCUGAGAGAUUGUGAAGCCUUGACUCGCUCAGAAAUCACUGACCGGGACAAAAGUAUUGCACAGCUCCAGCAGAGUUUAUGCCGCAAAGAGGCACUGCUGCAGGAGUAUGCAGAGUUGCAGAAUGACUCGUGUGACUCCAGCAGUCGCGAGGAGAGAGACGCGCUGCUGCAGACGCUAAGGAGCCGCAUUCGAGACAGAGACGCCGCGCUGGAGGUGUGUGAUCCAUCACAUCUAUUCUGUCCU